UACGGAGGGUGCAAGCGUUAUCCGGAUUCACUGGGUUUAAAGGGUGCGUAGGCGGGCAGGUAAGUCCGUGGUGAAAUCCCCGAGCUUAACUCGGGAACUGCCAUGGAUACUAUUUGUCUUGAAUAUUGUGGAGGUAAGCGGAAUAUGUCAUGUAGCGGUGAAAUGCUUAGAUAUGACAUAGAACACCAAUUGCGAAGGCAGCUUACUACACAGUUAUUGACGCUGAGGCACGGAAGCGUGGGGAUCAAACAGG
rnacentral:rRNA from 1 species